UACGUAGGGUGCGAGCGUUGUCCGGAAUUAUUGGGCGUAAAGAGCUCGUAGGCGGUUUGUCGCGUCUGCCGUGAAAGUCCGGGGCUCAACUCCGGAUCUGCGGUGGGUACGGGCAGACUAGAGUGAUGGUAGGGGAGACUGGAAUUCCUGGAUGUAGCGGUGAAAUGCGUGAGAUAUGCGGAGGAACACCGAUGGCGAACGGCGAAUC
rnacentral:rRNA from 1 species